rnacentral:lncRNA from 13 species
AGGUCAUAUCACUAUAUAUUGGGCACUCAGUCAGGUAAGUGUUCCCCAUACAAGGUGUGUCUAUGGGAGAGGCCAUAUGAAUACUGGUUAGUUUGGUUAUGUUGCUAUGGUGAAGGAAUAGUGGCUGAAUCAUUAAGAUAAACAAAUUCUCAUGCCACAUAGUCAGUCAUUCACAACUCUUUCUUAUUCUAUUCUGCUAAUUUUGUCUCACUAAUGCCACACUCUCACACCCUGUUCUUACUCUUUUCAGCCCUUCUCUCACUUUCUGCUUCCUUAGCUUUUCUCUCUCUCUCUCUCAUUACUUUUUCUGCAGUUUAUUUUUUCUGUAAACCAGGGGGCUGGGCUAUGACUGUUUGAGACAGAGACAGGAAGAAUGUGUGGUUGAGAUUGUUUGUGUGUGUGUGUGUGUGUGUAGACCGUUCCCUUUGCAUGACUACAUUUCAUCUCUCUCUCUCUCUCUCUCCACAGACGUGUCCUAAUCCACUACCUCCUCAACUAAAGUUACAAGAUUGUUUAUGGACUCUGCUCUGCACGUAUUCCUUUAUCACUUGUUAUCUCAAUGUAAUUGAGACAUUGUUAUUAGCCGUUUUUCUCCUCAGCAGCCUCCACUGGCAUGCAGACUCACAUAUACACACACACACACACACACACACACACACACACACACACACACACACACACACACACACACACACACUGUCAUUUGGCAAAUUGGGCUCCCGAGUGGUGCAGCGGUCUUAGGCACUGCAUCUCAGUGCAAGAGGCGUCACUACAGUCACUACACUACAGGGGCGGCAGGUAGCUUAAUGGUUAGUGUUGGAGGUUGCUGGAUCGAAUCUCUAAGUUAACAAGGUAAAAAUCUGUUGUUCUGCCCCUGAACAAGGCAGUUAACCCACUGUUCCCCGAUUGCUGUCAUUAUAAAUAAUAAUUUAUUCUUAACUCACUUGCCUAGUUAAAUAAAGGCAAAAAAAUAAUCAUUACACUCAUAUCUCCCUAUGUCUGUCUGUGUAUUGUCACUCCCUCUGAUUAAGAACGCAUGAAUGAUCUGAUUGGCUCAGUGACCCCAGCACCCUAUCUCUGACCCCGUCUCUCUCUUUAACCUGAAGCCAAAUGCCCUCUGCUGCCCAGGGCCAAAGGCCUAGCCCAGCAGACACAUAAUGUUCUGAGAACCAUAUUGGUGAGAGCGUGGUUGUUCCUAUGGUUAUUUUGCAUACAAACUACCCACAAUAUUCUGGGAAUGGUACAGGAUACCCAGAUAGCUCAUAAAGUUCUAAACGCAGCUAGCACAUAAUGUUCUGAGAACCAUAUCUUUCUUAAGUGAGAAUUUCAGUACUUCAGUAUAACGUUUCCUACAGUUUCUCAUAUCGUUAAGAAAACUUUCCAGAAAAAACACAAGAAAGCAUUAGUAUUGUUCAAAGAAGGUUCUACGGAUGUUAUUUAAAAACAUACACAUUCUGUUCUCGGCAUCAACAAAACUCUCUCUAUCCUCUAUCUUGUUAAGUGUGUUCACACCUGAUCUCAAUGGGUGUUUUUUCUUUGCAACAAGGCCUGUUAGAAUAGACUAAAAUGAACAGCUUGCAUGAGUUUAAAAAAACUGGCAUGCUAGCUCUAUCCUGGUGGUGCAAUGGAUUGAUUCCAUGGAUAGAGAACAGAAGACCAUAGGUUUGAAUCCCACUGAUGCUAUUCCAAAAUAAAAAUGAAUUGUGUUUGCAUGAUUAAUGCCUAAGCGAAUGCAUUUCUGUGUGUCUUACGAGUGCUUGGAGUUCAAAACAGUUCAACUAAGCUAGCAGUGUUAUUAAAAGUCACAGUGAAACAUUCUAAAAACUUUAUUUAAUUACCUUCUCAGAGCGUUAAUAACACCUCACAGGAAAACUUUAAGAAACCAUAGCAAAAUGUUCUCAGAACCUCCCUGCAACCUAAAAAUGUAUGUUCCCAGAAGAAACUAAAUGUUCACUUCCAUUCCCAGAACCUUUAAAAAAUGUCCAGUUUUACAGGUCAGGAAGCAUAUGGCUUUGUUUCCAGAAAUAAUGGGAAACCAAAAAUGUACGUUCCCACAACUUCCAAGGAACCAAAUGUGCUAGCUGGGAGGUUCCUGUCUCUUGGGUUACAUCCCAAUUAUCUUACAUGGUCUCCUUUGCUUGUAACCUUGUUUAUUUUUGUUUAUCACUGAUCUGGUUGGGAGAUGCAAUGGAGACUAAGGACCAAUCAGAUCAGCUCUGAAAAAGAUCUGAUGUGAAAAGAUCUGAUGUGAUUGGUCAAAAGACCAAUUAGUGGAAAAAAUAUCAUAAUUGGACUUGUGUAUAUGCACCCCAAUUGUACUGUCCUGUCCUGUCCAAUCAAUGCUCAUGAGAGACAUGAGAUGAGGAAAGGAGGGUGCUCAUUUGUUAGGAACUGUGUACAAAUUGCCUGUCGCACCAGUUAGACAUCUGUCAGUGUCAAGACUCAUCUUCUUUUCCCCUCUCUCAUUACUCUGCUCUGGCCCAUGGAAAGUGGUUAGGCAUUGAAGAUGGGGGAGCCAGCCCAGCAGUCAUCAUUGUCACCGUGGUGUUUAGCGUUUGUCAGGAACCCGACUCUUCCCCCAUAGGGCGCCCUUGCCAAGGCUGCUCAGAUCACUCUCCGGGCUCACGUUGCCUUCCUCAUAUAAUCUAACCAGGCCAGUUGAGAAGCAACGAUACACUCUGCCUCGCCCAGGCCUCCUCUGUCCACUUACAGUCACAAACACUCGAGCAGCCAUCAGGCAGAAUGGAGCUGGAGUCAGGUGCGGUGCCGGAGCUAGCCGAGGGGAUCAUGCAGUUAAGUUUCUCUCGUCUUAACCUCCUCUUCACCACGCUGUCUAAGCGUUGUAACCCUAAACCCCACCGCCGGACACCUGCAGCCCUAUGUGCAGUGGUUGGUGUCCCAUUGGCUAUGUGUCCUACAUAGGCUAGCAUGUGUGUUCAAAUAUUUACUUUUUCUAUCUUUGUAUCUAUCAAUCUUUCUCUGACUGGUUACUUUUACCAGCUUGUUUUUGUUCUGUUUAUUGAUUACUUGGAGCUGGCCAAUAAAUGUAAUCUGUUUUGCUAAUUGGAAUUAGGGCGCUUCUGUUUUUUUACGAGGGCAUGGCCUUGCUGAUAGAUAGCAUGAAGGAUAGGCUCUAUUUUCACUGGGUUGUUGCUACGUGCAUGAACUUCCGUAUACCUACAUCCUUACCUGUGAUGUAGAGACAUUUUAUUUGGGUUAGGUCAAUAUGUUAAAGUUUUAGUGUGAUUGACUCCGCUAUAGUAGUAUAGGGAAAGAGGUUGUGCUUAUGGUAUCCUGUGAUGUGACUACCUGUAGGUGGGGAAAUACCUGAGAAGGUAACGAAUUAUUCAAGUAAAA